GCAUCGGGCUCCCUGCUCCGCAGGAAGCCUGCUUCUCCCUCUCCCACUCCCUCUGCUUGUGUUCCCUCUUUCGCUGUGUCUCUCUCUGUCAAAUAAAUAAAUAAAAUCUUUAAAAAGAAAAAAAGAAAAGAAAACCUGUUUCAGUGAAAUGUCAGGUGGUUCCCUGUUCCCCUGUAACCCAUCCAAGAAUCCCAGGUUCAGAAUCCCUGAUUCAAGUGAUUUAAAUUGUCUCAUAGAAAUCACUGGUUACUGAGUUCCAUGAUGGCUCAGAUGAUGGGUCUGACUUCCAGUUAUAUACCACGCCCUUAGCUAUUACCCAGAGCCUUCAGAUCUGUAUAAUGUGAAGGUAGAAGAUAGAACCAUAUAAAGACAAAAUUACAAUCAUGAGACUUGGACUCACCCUCCACACAACCUGCUGGGGAAAUUGGUCCAGGACAUUUCUCAAGUUUGGAGGAAUUUUAAGCACUGAGGUGGAUGGCUGGGAUUACAUCCUUGUUGUGUCAAUCCCUAUACUAACUUUUCUUAUUAGAUUACUUUAUCUAGUCCUCAAAAAAAGAAGGAAAAAAAAAACUAUGAAGAAGGUGUAAUUAUUAUUUUAUAGAGAGGUUAGGUAUUUUGCCCAAGACCUUACAGCUAAAAUGUGGGCUUUAACUCAUUAUCUGCUUUCUAUUAAAUAGAGUAAAAUGCUAUUGGGGAGAUUCUGCCUAAAAUGAAAAAGAAGAUAGAGCAAGAGACUGAAUUUUUUAAAGAUCUAUUAGGAUGUAAUAUUAAUUAUUUGUGAAAGUAUAGUAUGUUAUAUACUAGGACUCAAAUUUCUAAAUUAGAUUAAUGCAUUUGGACAAAUGGUGACCUUUCUGAGCCUGAGUGCUCUCAUUUGUAAAAAGAGACUGUAAUAGAUGGUUUAUUUUGGUGAAAGAGGGGGCAGGGGAAGGGCAGAGAGAGAGAGAAUCUCAACCAGACUCCGUGCUGAGCAAUGCUCAACAGAAUGAGCCACCUAGGCGCUGCUGUAAUAGAUGGUUUUUAACAUUCUUCUAGCUCAUGACUUCUAGCAUCAUGAUUAUAGAAUUAUUCAUAUAUUUGAGGAGGAGUCUAGGAGUCAUUUUACAGAUGAGGGAGCAGAGGCUUAGAAUCUUUCUGGUGUGUUAACCAAAGCUGAGCCUAGAAUCAAUGUAUCCUGAUUUCUCUUCUCAUUCCACCAUGUAAUUAUCUUCCCAAACUAUAAAAUCUUCUGAAUUACUCCUUGGGUUCUUGUAUGUAUACUUUAUAGGCAAAAUGCAUUAUAAUGUCUUUAAAACCCUUGUAUUAAAUUUGCACCCUCAAAGGAUCUUUAAAUUAUUUCCCAGCCAGAAGCUCCCACAUAGCAAAGGCUGCGUAUACCUCUUAUUCCAGGUUUGAGUUUCUAGUACGUUGGGAGAGUAGUCUCACUGAGUCAUAAGAUGAGAUCAUGAAGCUGUAAAGCAUCUAUGACAACACUCUUGGUUGGCUAUCCAAGAUUAACCCCCAACUCCUUGUCCUUGUUCACUAGGUGAAUAACUCCCUUCCAACCUCCCUUAAAGCUAGUGGUAACCACAUGACCCUUUUAACCAAUGAGUCUACUGAGGAGGCCUCAAGGAAGAUUGUAUUCUCUGAUAAAAGAGAACGGCUGUCUUUGGACACAUUCUUGAAGGAUGAGGUGUUUGGAGCUGUGGCAGCCUUCUUACAACCAUGAGGGGAAUCACAGAAAUAUAAUCCCAGCACCCUAACAUGGUGGAGCUACAUAUCUCCUUUUGAAUUUUUUUAAAAAGUAAAUUAUAUAUUGUUAAUAUGGUUUAAAUUACUGUCAUUUGAAUCUUAUGCUUGUAGUUGCUGGAAGCAUUCCUAAUCGAUAAAGCACCAUACAGGUAAGACAUAUGUUCCAUGACAGGAAAUACAGCAUUGUACCUGAGUGCUUUGCAGUUAAAGAUAAAUAUUCAGUAAUUGAACAUUAACUGAGGGAAUUAAUGAACAAGUCAAUACCAUUGUGAUUAUUAUCCUUGUUCCAGUGCAGCCUACAGAGUGCAUAUUUAAUUUUUAAACAAAUAGGGUGUGCCAUGUAAAGUUAGGGAAGGAGUAUGAUAGUGGGAUAGAGGAAACACUAUGGAAUCAAUCACUUCUGACCAUUGGGGAGAGGUUGGAAAGGGAACUCUUCAGUUGACAUUUGCGAUGAAAGCUACAGUUCAGCUGAUACAAUGCCCAUAUCCAACCCCCUUCUUCUAUCUCUUUCUCUCCAAUAGAAGCAGUGAAAGCAAAAAUCUCCAUUGCCCAGCCUCCCUUGAUGUUUGAGUGGCCAUGUGCCGGUGCUUGCCAGUGAGAUGGAAGUGGAGUGGUGCUGGCCCCAUCCAUCCUCUUCCUCUUUCUUCCAGCCUAGAAAACAGAUGUAAUGGCAUCAGAAGCACAGAAGCUAUUCUUCAGCCAUGAGAUGCAGGGAAAUGCCUGAAGAGAGGCUCCGCUAGCUGAAAACUAAUCGCAGUUCUCAGGACAGAGCGUGUAAAAUAAACAAUUGGCAAUCAUGGUGCUACAUUUUAGGAUGUGCUUUGGAAACAUUUCCAUUCUACAACAACUGAAAGUUCAGAAUAUGAAAUGCUUAGAUAUCUACAAACAUAUUAACCAAACCAGCCACUCCUUGAUUGUUGCAUGUAAAAUU